UCCAGGCUGGCAGGAAGUGAGGAAAGGGCACUGGGAGGCAAGUCCAGCAGCGCGGUGUCACUGCCGUUUGAGAUGGUGCUGAAAGCCACUGGACGUGGGUGUUCAAUGGUUUAGGCUUUGGUGGUGGAAAUGAAACCUUCUCUUCCCUCUAUCUCCACAACAUGUAACUGACCAUGGAAGACGUGUCUAAGCAAGCUGCAAGCUUGGAGCAUGUGUUUGAAGCUAUGUUGCUCUAUUUCCUAUCCAAGAGCAUUCUGCCUGUGUUCUCCUUGCUGCUGCUUGAAUAAAUGCAUGAAUCUGACCUUUGAA